rnacentral:rRNA from 1 species
CCUACGGGAGGCUGCAGUGAGGAAUAUUGGUCAAUGGACGAGAGUCUGAACCAGCCAAGUAGCGUGAAGGAUGACUGCCCUAUGGGUUGUAAACUUCUUUUAUAAAGGAAUAAAACGAGGCACGUGUGCCUUUUUGUAUGUACUUUAUGAAUAAGGAUCGGCUAACUCCGUGCCAGCAGCCGCGGUAAUACGGAGGAUCCGAGCGUUAUCCGGAUUUAUUGGGUUUAAAGGGAGCGUAGGUGGGUUGUUAAGUCAGUUGUGAAAGUUUGCGGCUCAACCGUAAAAUUGCAAUUGAUACUGGCAGUCUUGAGUACAGUUGAGGUAGGCGGAAUUCGUGGUGUAGCGGUGAAAUGCUUAGAUAUCACGAAGAACCCCGAUUGCGAAGGCAGCUUACUAAACUGUGACUGACAUUGAUGCUCGAAAGUGUGGGUAUCAAACAGGAUUAGAUACCCGAGUAGUC